rnacentral:rRNA from 1 species
GAUGAACGCUGGCGGCGUGCCUAACACAUGCAAGUCGAACGGUAAGGCCCUGCUUUUGUGGGGUGCUCGAGUGGCGAACGGGUGAGUAACACAUGAGUAACCUGCCCUCGACUUGGGGAUGACUUCAGGAAACUGGGGCUAAUAACGGAUAGGAGCUCCUGAUGCCUGGUGGGGGUUGGAAAGUUUCGGCGGUCUUGGAUGGUCUCGCGGCUGAUCAGCUUGUUGGUGGGGUAGUGGCUUACCAAGUCUGUGACGGGUCGGCGACGUGAGAGGGGGACCGCGCACAUGAGUACUGAGAUACGGCCCAGAGUAGUACGGGAGGCAGCGGUGGGGAGUAUUGCACAAUGGUCCGACGCCUAAUGAGGCAACGCCGCGUUCGGGAUGACGACCUUCGGGUUAUGAACCGCUUUAGCCUGUGACGAAACCUCAGUGACGGUAAUGGGUGAAGAAGCACCGGCUAACUACGUG